AUUGAACGCUGGCGGCAUGCUUUACACAUGCAAGUCGAACGGUAACAGGCCACAAGGUGCUGACGAGUGGCGAACGGGUGAGUAAUGCAUCGGAACGUGCCCAGUCGUGGGGGAUAACGCAGCGAAAGCUGCGCUAAUACCGCAUACGAUCUAUGGAUGAAAGCGGGGGACCGAAAGGCCUCGCGCGAUUGGAGCGGCCGAUGUCAGAUUAGGUAGUUGGUGGGGUAAAGGCUCACCAAGCCAACGAUCUGUAGCUGGUCUGAGAGGACGACCAGCCACACAGGGACUGAGACACGGCCCAGACUCCUACGGGAGGCAGCAGUGGGGAAUUUUGGACAAUGGGCGCAAGCCUGAUCCAGCAAUGCCGCGUGCAGGAAGAAGGCCUUCGGGUUGUAAACUGCUUUUGUACGGAACGAAAAGGCUCUGGUUAAUACCUGGGGCUCAUGACGGUACCGUAAGAAUAAGCACCGGCUAACUACGUGCCAGCAGCCGCCGCGGUAA
rnacentral:rRNA from 1 species